AUUAAUGGAGUUGUUUUUACUAAUUUUUAUUAAGUUAAUAUUAAUUAAGUAAAUAUGAGUUAGUGUAGAAUAAAUUGAUUUGAUUAUUUUUACUAUAGUGAAUUAGUACUGUGAAGGAAAUUUUAAUUAUUAUUUAUAAUUAAUAAAAGGUAAUUUUAUUUAUUGUAUCUUGUGUAUCAGAGUAUAUUAAAAUGGAUUAUGAAAUUUUUUCUUCUCGAAUUUAAAAGAUUUAAUUAAAAAUUUUAGUUAUUGUUUCAUAAAUAUUAAUAAUUUUUAAUUGGUAAUGAAAUGUUAUUCGUUUUUAAGGAUAUCUGGUUUUUUAAUAAAUGAAUUUAAUUCAGGAAAUGUAAUUUAUUAAAUAAUUUAUUAUUUGGAUAUUUUAUGUUUUUAAUUUUGAAAGGGAUAAACUUUUUAAAAUGAAAUUAUAAUAUUUGAGGUGAUUAGGAUUUUAUAAAUUUAGAAUUUGUUAAUGAUUAAAGGAUGUUAAAAUUUAAUUCUUUUAUUUUUGUUUAAUUUUUAAUUUUUAUUUAAUUUUUAUAUUAAAAUAUUGGAUUUAAUUUAGAAAUUUUGGAAAAUAUGAUUUAAUUAGUAAAGUUAAAAUUUAUUUUGUUUAAUGGGUUGAAUUGUUAAUAUAAAGAAUUAGGCAAAAAUUUCGCUCGCCUGUUUAUUAAAAACAUGGUUUCUUGUAAUUAUUUAAGAAAUCUGACCUGCCCACUGAAUAAAAUUUUGAAGGGCCGCAGUAUUUUGACUGUGCAAAGGUAGCAUAAUCAUUAGUCUUUUAAUUGAGGGCUGGAAUGAAUGGUUGAAUGAGGUGAAUUCUGUUUUAUAUUAAUUUUUAUUGAAUUUAGAUUUUAAGUAAAAAGACUUAAAUAUUAUUAAGGGACGAGAAGACCCUAUAGAGUUUAAUAAGUGUAUUAAUUAAUUAAGUUAUAAAUAUAAUUUUUAAUUAUUAUGAAAUUUAUUUAAUUGGGGUGAUUGAAAGAUAAAGUUAACUCUUUUUUGUAUUUAAUUUUAUAAAAAGUUGUAUGAUCCAUAUUUAAUGAUUAAAAGAUUAAAUUACCUUAGGGAUAACAGCAUAAUUCUUUUUGAGAGUUCAUAUCGAAAAAGGAGAUUGUGACCUCGAUGUUGGAUUAAGAUUAGUUUUGGGUGCAGAUGUUCAAUAACUAGGUCUGUUCGACCUUGAAAAUCUUACAUGAUCUGAGUUUAAACCGGCGUGAGCCAGGUUGGUUUCUAUCUUUUGUUAAUUUGAAUAUCUUAGUACGAGAGGACCAGAUAUUUGAAAUAAUUUUUUGAUUUGAAGGGAUAUUGUUAAUUGA
rnacentral:rRNA from 1 species